GAUGAACGCUAGCGGCAGGCUUAACACAUGCAAGUCGAGGGGUAACAUAGAAAAGCUUGCUUUUCUGAUGACGACCGGCGCACGGGUGCGUAACGCGUAUACAACCUACCUUUUAGCGGGGAAUAGCCCACGGGAAACUUGGAUUAAUGCCCCAUAGUAUAUAGACUUCUCCUGAAGUUUAUAUUAAACAUUUAUGGCUAUUAGAUGGGUAUGCGUCCUAUUAGCUAGUUGGUGUGGUAACGGCACACCAAGGCUACGAUAGGUAGGGGUCCUGAGAGGGAGACUCCCCACACUGGUACUGAGACACGGACCAGACUCCUACGGGAGGCAGCAGUGAGGAAUAUUGGACAAGUGGGCGAGACGCCUGAUCCAGCCAUGCCGCGUGCAGGAAGACUCGCCCUAGUGGGUUAGUAAACUGUCUUUUACAGAGGAAGAACCCACCCCACGUGUGGGGGUUUGACGGUACUCUGCGAAUAAGGAUCGGCUAACUCCGUG
rnacentral:rRNA from 1 species